AAAACGACUCUCGACAACGGAUAUCUCGGCUCUCGCAUCGAUGAAAAACGUAGCGAAAUGCGAUACUUGGUGUGAAUUGCAGAAUCCCGUGAACCAUCGAGUCUUUGAACGCAAGUUGCGCCCAAAGCCAUCAGGCCGAGGGCACGUCUGCCUGGGCGUCACGCA
rnacentral:rRNA from 1 species